rnacentral:rRNA from 1 species
CCUACGGGCGGCAGCAGUGAGGAAUAUUGGUCAAUGGCCGGAAGGCUGAACCAGCCAAGCCGCGUGAGGGAGGAAGGCGCAGAGCGUCGUAGACCUCUUUUGUCGGGGGACAAAAGGCCGGACGGGUCCGGUUCUGAGGGUACCCGGAGAAAAAGCAUCGGCUAACUCCGUGCCAGCAGCCGCGGUAAUACGGAGGAUGCGAGUGUUAUCCGGAUUUCUUGGGUUUAAAGGGUGCGCAGGGGGGCCUUUAAGCCGGCGGGGAAAUUGCGGGGCUCAACCCCGCCGAGCGGUUGGAACUGGGGGCCUUGAGUGCGGCGGAGGCAUGCGGAAUGCGCGGUGUAGCGGUGAAAUGCAUAGAUAUCGCGCAGAACCCCGAUUGCGAAGGCAGCGUGCCGUGCCGCCACUGACGCUGAGGCACGAAAGCGCGGGGAUCGAACAGGAUUAGAUACCCCUGUAGUC